rnacentral:lncRNA from 10 species
CUUGACCCCACCCUAGGUCUUCUGGCACUGCCCAGCCCUCAAGAUCCCUAACCUCAGUCUUUACCAUUGUCUCCCGACUAGUCUUCUUACUUUAGGUCUUCUCCUUGAGUCCCUCCAACCAGUGCUCUCAGAAUCCCCCUUUAAAAAACUCAGGGUGAUCCAUCUUCCUUGGCCUCCCAAAGUGUUGGGAUUACAGGCGUGAGCCACCAUGCCCGGCCCCUUCUUAAUUUUUAUGUCUGGUGAAAUUGCACUCAUCCUUUAAAAUCCCAACUCAAUUGCUGCCUUUCCCAUAAAGCUGAGUUCUUAGACUCAGUUGCUUCUCUUCAACAUUUUCUUGCCAGUGUGUGUGUAUGUGUGUGUAUGUACAUGCACAUGCAUGCAUGUGUGUUUCUUCUGUCAUAAGUCUUAAAGCCAGAGGUCAUGUUAUAGUCACCCUGUAUCUUCAUGCCUUAUAGGGAGCCUAGAACAUUGCAGAUGCUCAGCAAAAGUUUAUGGAAUGGCCAGGCGUGGUGGCUUAUGCCUGUAAUCCCAGCACUUUGGGAGGCCGAGGCUGUCCGGAGUACACAUGGCUUAGAAGUUCCAUUAAGCCAUAAGGGAAAACUGAUGGUGACAGAGGAAUAUAUUGACUUCCUG